rnacentral:rRNA from 1 species
UACAGAGGGUGCGAGCGUUGUCCGGAAUCACUGGGCGUAAAGGGCGCGUAGGCGGCUUGAUAAGCGUGCGGUGAAAGCCCGGGGCUCAACCCCGGGUCGGCCGUGCGAACUGUCGAGCUGGAGCACUGUAGAGGCAGGUGGAAUUCCGGGUGUAGCGGUGGAAUGCGUAGAGAUCCGGAAGAACACCGGUGGCGAAGGCGGGCCUGCUGG